GCGANNUGCGAUACUUAGUGUGAAUUGCAGAAUUCCGCGAAUCAUCGAGUUUUUGAACGCAUAUUGCGCCCGAGGUUCACGCCGAGGGCACGUCUGUCUGAGCGUCA
rnacentral:rRNA from 1 species